rnacentral:rRNA from 1 species
GACGAAGGAUGCAAGCGUUAUCCGGAUUCAUUGGGUUUAAAGGGAGCGUAGGUGGCCUUAUAAGUCAGUGGUGAAAUCUCUCAGCUUAACUGAGAAAUUGCCAUUGAUACUGUAGGGCUUGAGUACAGAUGCCGUUGGCGGAAUAUGACAUGUAGUGGUGAAAUACAUAGAGAUGUCAUAGAACACCGAUUGCGAAGGCAGCUGACGAAACUGUAACUGACACUGAGGCUCGAAAGUGCGGGGGAUCAAACAGG